UUUUAGUUUUGACUCCCAGUGACCGUCUUAUUCUGGACAUAUCGGGGAGGAGGCAGUAAAAGUUUGACAAAUUUUUAACAAAUCAAGAUUGAGUGAAAAAAGAAAAAAGUCUUUCGUCUUUCACUUUAUUUACUCGACGGGUCGGGACGGAUUCGAAACGAGUUAUAUUUUUUUGUAUUUUUUGUUCUCAAGUCCAAUUCAGAACAAGUUAGGACAAGAGUA
rnacentral:lncRNA from 1 species